GGCCUGAUAAGACGGGUAAGCGUCGCAUCAGGCAAUGGUGCUCGGAUGCCGGAUGCGGCGUGAACGCCUUAUCCGGCC
rfam:Escherichia coli str. K-12 substr. MG1655, complete genome.